ACGCUCGACACCUACUGGAGGCAGCAGUGGGGAAUAUUGCACAAUGGAGGAAACUCUGAUGCAGCGACGCCGCGUGAGCGAAGAAGUAUUUCGGUAUGUAAAGCUCUAUCAGCAGGGAAGAAAAAGGACGGUACCUGACUAAGAAGCUCCGGCUAAAUACGUGCUAGCAGCCGCGGUAAUCUGAGCGGGCUGGCAAGGC
rnacentral:rRNA from 1 species